rnacentral:rRNA from 1 species
GAUGAACGCUGGCGGCGUGCCUAACACAUGCAAGUCGAACGGUUAAACCGGCUUCUGCCGGAAAUAAAGUGGCGAACGGGUGAGUAACGCGUGACCGACCUUCCCCCCGCACCGGGACAACCGCGGGAAACCGCGGCUGAUACCGGGUACUCCGGGGCCUUCGCAUGGGGGCCCCGGGAAAGCUCCGGCGGCGGGGGAUGGGGUCGCGUCCCAUCAGGUAGUAGGCGGGGCAACGGCCCACCUAGCCGACGACGGGUAGCCGGGUUGAGAGACCGACCGGCCACAUUGGGACUGAGAUACGGCCCAGACUCCUACGGGAGGCAGCAGUGGGGAAUUUUGCGCAAUGGGGGCAACCCUGACGCAGCAACGCCGCGUGCGGGACGACGGCCUUCGGGUUGUAAACCGCUUUCAGCAGGGAAGAACCUCUGACGGUACCUGCAGAAGAAGCCCCGGCUA